AUGGGCAACAAGCAGACAGUCUUCACACACGAGCAGCUGGAAGCGUAUCAGGACUGCACAUUUUUCACAAGGAAGGAGAUCAUGAGAUUUUAACAACGACGACUACAUUUGUGCGUGGGACCUGGAGCAGACGGUGACCAAACUGACGCGGGGGGAGCUGAGCGCUGAGGAGGUGAGCCUGGUAUGUGAGAAGGUGCUGGAUGAGGCUGAUGGAGACCAUGAUGGGCGGCUGUCCCUGGAAGAUUUCCAGAACAUGAUCCUCCGGGCACCAGACUUCCUCAGCACCUUCCACAUCCGAAUCUGAUGGCACCACAGAGGAGCCGAGCUAUAGGAGGGCGGGGUGACCCCUCACCC
rnacentral:sRNA from 1 species